AGAGUUUGAUCAUGGCUCAGGACGAACGCUGGCGGUGCGCCUUAUGCAUGCAAGUCGAGCGAAGCUUUUCAGUAGUUUACUACAGAAAAUGACUGAGCGGCGAACGGGUGAGUAACGCGUGAGCAAUCUACCUUAGUUACAGGGAUAGCCCGAGGAAACUCGGAUUAAUACCUGAUAUUCUUUACAUUUCGCAUGAAAUCAAAAGGAAAGGUCAGCCGAACUAAGAUGAGCUCGCGUUCUAUCAGCUAGUUGGUGAGGUAAAAGCUCACCAAGGCAACGACGGAUAGCUGGUCUGAGAGGACGAUCAGCCACACUGGGACUGAGACACGGCCCAGACUCCUACGGGAGGCUGCAGCAGGGAAUAUUGCGCAAUGAGCGAAAGCUUGACGCAGCGACACCGCGUGUGGGAUGACGGAUCUAGGUUUGUAAACCACUUUCAGGAGGGAAGAAAAUGACGGUACCUCCACAAGAAGCCCCGGCCAACUACGUGCCAGCAGCCGCGGUAAUACGUAGGGGGCGAGCGUUGUCCGGAUUUAUUGGGCGUAAAGAGCUCGUAGGCGGUUCAACAAGUCGGUCGUAAAAGUUCAGGGCUCAACCCUGAAAUGUCGAUCGAUACUGUUGUGACUAGGAUACGGUAGAGGUGAGUGGAAUUCCGAGUGUAGCGGUGAAAUGCGUAGAUAUUCGGAGGAACACCAAUUG
rnacentral:rRNA from 1 species